UACGGAGGGUGCAAGCGUUGCUCGGAAUACUGGGCGUAAAGCGGGCGCAGGCGGCAUGUCAGGUCGGGUGUGAAAGCCCGGGGCUCAACCCCGGAACUGCAUCCGAAACCGGCAAGCUUGAAUACAAGAGAGGGAAGCGGAAUUCCUGGUGUAGAGGUGAAAUUCGUAGAGAUCAGGAGGAACACCAGCGGCGAAGGCGGCUUCCUGGCUUGAUAUUGACGCUCAUGCCCGAAAGCGUGGGGAGCAAACA
rnacentral:rRNA from 1 species